rnacentral:tRNA from 1 species
GAUGUGACUCAGUUGGUAGAGUGCUUGUUUAGCAUGCGUGAGGCCCUGAGUUCAAUCCCAGCACA